rnacentral:rRNA from 1 species
GAUGAACGCUGGCGGCGUGCCUAAUACAUGCAAGUCGAGCGAACGGACGAGAAGCUUGCUUCUCUGAUGUUAGCGGCGGACGGGUGAGUAACACGUGGAUAACCUACCUAUAAGACGGGGAUAACUUCGGGAAACCGGAGCUAAUACCGGAUAAUAUUUUGAACCGCAUGGUUCAAAAGUGAAAGACGGUCUUGCUGUCACUUAUAGAUGGAUCCGCGCUGCAUUAGCUAGUUGGUAAGGUAACGGCUUACCAAGGCAACGAUGCAUAGCCGACCUGAGAGGGUGAUCGGCCACACUGGAACUGAGACACGGUCCAGACUCCUACGGGAGGCAGCAGUAGGGAAUCUUGCGCAAUGGGCGAAAGCCUGACGGAGCAACGCCGCGUGAGUGAUGAAGGUCUUCGGAUCGUAAAACUCUGUUAUUAGGGAAGAACAUAUGUGUAAGUAACUGUGCACAUCUUGACGGUACCUAAUCAGAAAGCCACGGCUAACUACGUG